AGCGAACAUUGGCGGUAGGCUUAACACAUGCAAGUCGAGCGAGGCGUAAUAGUCGAGCGGCGAACGGGUGCGUAAUACAUGGGAAUCUACCUCGAAGUGGGGGAUAACGUCCAGAAAUGGACGCUAAUACCGCAUAAUCCAUAUUGGGAAAGCGUUGCAGCGCUUUGAGAUGAGCCCAUGGCUGAUUAGCUUGUUGGUGAGGUAACGGCUCACCAAGGCGACGAUCAGUAGCUGGUCUGAGAGGAUGACCAGCCACACUGGAACUGAGACACGUGCCAGACUCUUACGGGAGGCAGCAGUGGGGAAUCUUGCGCAAUGGGGGCAACCCUGACGCAGCCAUACCGCGUGAGUGAUGAAGGUCUUCGGAUUGUAAAGCUCUUUCGGCGGGGACGACGAUGACGGUACCCGAAAAAGAAGUCACGGCUAACUUCGUGCCAGCCGCCGCGGUAA
rnacentral:rRNA from 1 species